CCGUCUUUUCCUGGACAUCUCUAGCAGCUGCAAUAAUCUGAAUACACAACAAAAUUCAAAGAUGAGACUGAAUCCUCCAAAAUAUAAAUGCCGAGAGAAAAUCAACGCAACAACUACACAAUUUUCAGAUAUGAUUAACCUCAGGAGCAACUUCUUCAACUUUCACAGUCUUUUUAACAGCACAAAGCACUUCAAAACGCACGCCAGCAGUCUAGUAAGCUUUUCCAAUAGAAAACCUAAUUCUUAUCAGUUUCCUAGUAGUACAAUAGAAAACCUUUAAUCAAAACAAUAAAACAAAGAAGUUGCGAUGAGAAAAAGACAAUUAAGACCAAUUCAUUACCUCCGAAGCAGCGACAUCAAUGAAACUAAACUUCUCAAAUAUGUUUCUAAAUUCUUCAUCCAUGCCUUCAUAUAGGUCUAACUUCUCUGAUACAUACUCAACAAAUCAUCUUUUACCUAUAACAAUAAAAGAGAUUAUUUACUAUAACAAAGAAAUUGUUUCAUACUUAUUAAAACACUAAAAAUUGUUUCAAACUUCUAAAUUUGUCAUUGUUCC
rnacentral:lncRNA from 1 species